rnacentral:rRNA from 1 species
UAAGAUUAAGCCAUGCAUGUCUCAGUACUUGCUUUUACAAGGCGAAACCGCGAAUGGCUCAUUAAAUCAGUUAUGGUUCAUUAGAUCGUAAAUUUUACACGGAUAACUGUGGUAAUUCUAGAGCUAAUACGUGCAAUUAGCUCGCUUCCUUGUGGAGCGAGCGCAGUUAUUAGAUCAAAACCAAUCCGGCCUUCGGGUCGGUACAAUUGGUGACUCUGAAUAACCGAAGCGGAGCGCAUGGUCUCGUACCGGCGCCAGAUCUUUCAAGUGUCUGACUUAUCAGCUUGUUGUUAGGUUACGUUCCUAACAAGGCUUCAACGGGUAACGGGGUAUCAGGGUCCGAUACCGGAGAGGGAGCCUGAGAAACGGCUACCACAUCCAAGGAAGGCAGCAGGCGCGCAAAUUACCCACUCCUAGCACAGGGAGGUAGUGACGAAAAAUAACGAUGCGAGGGCUAUUAKCUUCUCGUAAUCGGAAUGGGUACACUUUAAAUCCUUUAACGAGGAUCUAUUGGAGGGCAAGUCUGGUGCCAGCAGCCGCGGUAAUUCCAGCUCCAAUAGCGUAUAUUAAAGUUGCUGCGGUUAAAAAGCUCGUARUUGGAUCUGGGCUUCUGAAUGGAUGGUGUACUUUUCGGUGCAACUGUUCGUUUGGUGCCACAA